GGUGGUUCUCGGGUGACACACCCUGGAAUCGGGCUCCCUCCUCUUUGGUUCCAGGUGCAUCACCAGAGAACUGCA
rfam:Myotis lucifugus cont2.19049, whole genome shotgun sequence.